GAGUUUGAUCCUGGCUCAGGAUGAACGCUAGCGACAGGCUUAACACAUGCAAGUCGAGGGGCAGCGGGGGAGUAGCAAUACUCCCGCCGGCGACCGGCGCACGGGUGAGUAACACGUAUGAAACCUGCCCGUAGCAGGGGGAUAAGCGGAAGAAAUUCCGUCUAAUACCGCGUAACAACCCAUGGAGGCAUCUCCGUGGGUUUAAAGGAAGCGAUUCCGGCUACGGAUGGUCAUGCGUCGCAUUAGCUAGUUGGCGGGGUAACGGCCCACCAAGGCGACGAUGCGUAGGGGUUCUGAGAGGAAGGUCCCCCACACUGGUACUGAGACACGGACCAGACUCCUACGGGAGGCAGCAGUGAGGAAUAUUGGUCAAUGGCCGCAGGGCUGAACCAGCCAAGUCGCGUGAGGGAUGACGGUCCUAUGGAUUGUAAACCUCUUUUGUCAGGGAGCAAAGGGCGCCACGUGUGGCGCUUUGCGAGUACCUGAAGAAAAAGCAUCGGCUAACUCCGUGCCAGCAGCCGCGGUAAUACGGAGGAUGCGAGCGUUAUCCGGAUUUAUUGGGUUUAAAGGGUGCGCAGGCGGAAUGUCAAGUCAGCGGUAAAAUUUCGGGGCUCAACCCCGUCGUGCCGUUGAAACUGGCGUUCUUGAGUGAGCGAGAAGUAUGCGGAAUGCGUGGUGUAGCGGUGAAAUGCAUAGAUAUCACGCAGAACUCCGAUUGCGAAGGCAGCAUACCGGCGCUCAACUGACGCUCAUGCACGAAAGCGUGGGUAUCGAACAGGAUUAGAUACCCUGGUAGUCCACGCAGUAAACGAUGAAUACUAACUGUCCGGGCAGAAUGAUGCCUGGGUGGUACAGCGAAGGCGUUAAGUAUUCCACCUGGGGAGUACGCCGGCAACGGUGAAACUCAAAGGAAUUGACGG
rnacentral:rRNA from 1 species